GUCGACGAGCUUGUUUUUCGGAUAAGCUUAGUGGCGGACGGGUGAGUAACGCGUGAACAAUCUGCCCUAUACAAAGGAAUAGCCUCGGGAAACUGGGAUUAAAACCAUAUAACACUUACAUAUCGCAUGGUGAGUAAGUCAAAUUGAUUAAGAGGUAUAGGAUGAGUUCGCGUCUGAUUAGCUAGUUGGUGAGGUAAUGGCUCACCAAGGCGACGAUCAGUAGCCGGCCUGAGAGGGUGAACGGCCACACUGGAACUGAGACACGGUCCAGACUCCUACGGGAGGCAGCAGUGGGGAAUAUUGCACAAUGGGCGAAAGCCUGAUGCAGCGACGCCGCGUGAGUGAAGAAGGCCUUCGGGUCGUAAAACUCUGUCCUUGGUGAAGAAAAAAAUGACGGUAGCCAAGGAGGAAGCCCCGGCUAACUACGUGCCAGCAGCCGCGGUAAUACGUAGGGGGCGAGCGUUGUCCGGAUUUACUGGGCGUAAAGGGUGAGUAGGCGGUUGUAUAAGUCAGAUGUAAAAGGCACAGGCUUAACUUGUGUAAGCAUUUGAAACUGUACGACUUGAGUGCAGGAGAGGUAAGUGGAAUUCCUAGUGUAGCGGUGAAAUGCGUAGAUAUUAGGAGGAACACCAGUGGCGAAGGCGACUUACUGGACUGGAACUGACGCUGAGUCACGAAAGCGUGGGUAGCAAACAGGAUUAGAUACCCUGGUAGUCCACGCUGUAAACGA
rnacentral:rRNA from 1 species